rnacentral:rRNA from 1 species
AGCAUAAUCAUUUGUCUUUUAAUUGAAGACUAGAACAAAAGAUUUAACAAUUCAAUUAAUAUCCAAAAUUAAUUAUUCUAAUUUAUUUUAAAUGUAAAAAAACACUUAUAAUAUAGGAAGACGACAAGACCCUAUUAAACUUAACUGUAGUUAAACUGGGGCAGUUAAUAAAUUAUUAUUUUAAUAAAAAUAUAAAUAAAAAUGAUCCUAUAAAACUGAAUAUAUGAACAAGUUACUAUAGGGAUAACAGCGUAAUAUUUAUCUAAAGAUCUUAUUCAAAUAAAAGAUUGCGACCUCGAUGUUGAAUUAAUAACCUAAAUUAUUGCAGUAAAUAAAUAAAGGAAGUC